UACAGAGGGUGCGAGCGUUGUUCGGAUUUACUGGGCGUAAAGGGCGUGCAGGCGGGUCGACAAGUCCUGUGUGUAAUCUCCCGGCUCAACCGGGAAACUGCACGGGAAACUGUCGAUCUUGAGUGCGAGAGAGGAUGGCGGAAUUCCUGGUGUAGCGGUGAAAUGCGUAGAUAUCAGGAGGAACACCGGUGGCGAAGGCGGCCAUCUAGCUCGACACUGACGCUGAGACGCGAAGGCCGGGGGAGCAAACAGG
rnacentral:rRNA from 1 species